rnacentral:rRNA from 1 species
UACGUAGGUCCCGAGCGUUGUCCGGAUUUAUUGGGCGUAAAGCGAGCGCAGGCGGCGCGCCAAGUCUGAUGUGAAACCCCGGGGCUCAACCCCGGGCAUGCAUUGGAAACUGGCGGGCUGGAGUGCCGGAGAGGUAAGCGGAAUUCCUAGUGUAGCGGUGAAAUGCGUAGAUAUAAGGAAGAACACCAGUGGCGAAGGCGGAUGACUGGACGGCAACUGACGGUGAGGCGCGAAAGCGUGGGGAGCAAACAGG